CACGUAAAACACAUAGCCAGAGUCCGUCCCAUUCUCUCUCGGGCCAACACAGAGAUGCUGAUGCAUGCUUUUAUCACCAGUCGUAUUGACUACUGUAAUGCCCUGCUCUCUGGUCUUCCCAAAA